UACGGAGGGUGCAAGCGUUAAUCGGAAUUACUGGGCGUAAAGGGUGCGUAGGUGGUUUAUUAAGUUAUCUGUGAAAUCCCCGGGCUUAACCUGGGUUGGUCAGAUAAGACUGGUAGACUGGAGUAUGGGAGAGGGUAGUGGAAUUUCCGGUGUAGCGGUGAAAUGCGUAGAGAUCGGAAGGAACACCAGUGGCGAAGGCGGCUACCUGGCCCAAUACUGACACUGAGGCACGAAAGAGUGGGGAGCAAACAGG
rnacentral:rRNA from 1 species